rnacentral:rRNA from 1 species
GGAAGGUGCAAGCGUUAAUCGGAAUUACUGGGCGUAAAGCGUGCGUAGGCGGUUCGUUAAGUCUGUUGUGAAAGCCCCGGGCUCAACCUGGGAAUGGCAAUGGAUACUGGCGAGCUAGAGUGUGAUAGAGGAUGGUGGAAUUCCCGGUGUAGCGGUGAAAUGCGUAGAGAUCGGGAGGAACAUCAGUGGCGAAGGCGGCCAUCUGGAUCAACACUGACGCUGAGGCACGAAAGCGUGGGGAGCAAACAGGAUUAGAUACCCUGGUAGUCCACGCCCUAAACGAUGCGAACUGGAUGUUGGUCUCAACUCGGAGAUCAGUGUCGAAGCUAACGCGUUAAGUUCGCCGCCUGGGGAGUACGGCCGCAAGACUG